UACGGAGGGAGCUAGCGUUGUUCGGAAUUACUGGGCGUAAAGCGCACGUAGGCGGCUUUGUAAGUUAGAGGUGAAAGCCCGGGGCUCAACCCCGGAACUGCCUUUAAGACUGCAUCGCUUGAAUCCAGGAGAGGUGAGUGGAAUUCCGAGUGUAGAGGUGAAAUUCGUAGAUAUUCGGAAGAACACCAGUGGCGAAGGCGGCUCACUGGCCUGGUAUUGACGCUGAGGUGCGAAAGCGUGGGGAGCAAACAGG
rnacentral:rRNA from 1 species